rnacentral:rRNA from 1 species
AUAUUAUAUUAUUACUGCAAAGAAGAUUAAAUUUUAUAAUGGUUAAUACCUUUUGCAUAAUGGUUUAAUAAUAAUUAUUAAAAAUUUAAUUUCCCGAAAUUAGAAGAUCUAAUUUUUAUUAAAAAUUUAGAUUUAAUACAAUAUAAUGUUUCAAAAUUAUAAAUAUAAAUAAAAUUAGGGGUGAAAGGCCUAUCAAUUCUAAAGAUAUCUGGAAUAAUUUAAAAUGUAUUUAGUACAAAAUAAAUUUUGAGUAAAAAAAUGUUAAGGUUUUUUUAUAUUAGAAUAAUAUUUAAUUUGAUAUUAUGAAUUAACCUUCUUAUAAUUAAUUCUAUUAAUAAUUUAAAAAUAAAGGUAUCUAAAAUUUUAAAAUUAUAAGCAUAAUAACUUUUAAUUUUGUAAAUUAUGUUAAAAUUAGUAUAAUGUUUUUAUUUUUUAAAGGAACUCGGCAAACUUAUUAUUCAUCUGUUUAUCAAAAACAUAGCUUUAUGUAUUAUAUAUAAAGUGUAACCUGCCCACUGAUUAUAAUUUAACGGCCGCAGUACCUUGACUGUGCUAAGGUAGCAUAAUAAAUUGACUUUUAAUUGGGGCCUUGAAUGAAAGGAUAAAUGGAUAAUUUCUGUCUUUAAUAAACUUCUUAUAAUUUACUUAAAAGGUGAAAAUUCCUUUAAUUUAAUAUAAUAGACGAGAAGACCCUAGGAGUUUUAAUUUUGUUGGGGCGACAAUAUAACAUUAAAAUUAACUUAUAUAUGUUAAUUAAAAUUAAACGAAUAAUUUUAAUAAUAAGUAAACUACCCUAGGGAUAACAGCAUAAUUUUAAAGAAAGUUUGUGACCUCGAUGUUGGACUAGGAACUUUUAAAGCUAACAGCGUUAACUGGUGUUCUGUUCGA